rnacentral:lncRNA from 1 species
AACAGUGACCUUGCCAUCAGAGAGAACCUCAUCAGGAAGGACUUUGAGCUCUUAAGGAAGCCACCCCUUUGGAGAGGCUCUACUUGGACCCACCAAAUUCCAAUCUGUAGGAAAAAAGCUACAGCCAAUUUUCAGGCCGCUUCCAAAUACUACAUGAGCUAGUUUGGUGUCUAAUGUAACAGUUGUACAUGUUUUAGUGGCUCCACAGUUAGACUUGUUGGACACUAAGGAAGCCAUCUAUCAGAGAGUUGGGGUAAAAGCUGACUUGGCAGAAGCUGUCUGAUACUGUGGGUCAUCCUGACCUUGAGACUGCGCAACGUGCCCUGGCAGAUUCAGAGUGUGUCCUGCUAGAACCCAUGUGCUGGACUCAUUUCCAAGUGUGCCUGCAGCAUGCAUUCAUUACUGCAUCUGAUGGAAGCACAAAGGGAGAGACAAAGAUGCAGAGAACAAUGCUCAGAAUGGCUGUAUUGCACACAAUCCUCUUCUGAGGCCCCAUUCCUGAAAGAAAGCAGGCCAUGCUGGUCUCAGUAUUUGCAUGGAAGGAUAUCUGCCAGUGAAUGAGUCUGUUGAAAUCACCACACCAAAUUCAACAUUAAGGGCCAACCCUGACCACAGCUGAGCCGUGUGAAGAGGCUGACAGCGGCGUGGCCACCACCCAGGAUGGAGAGAAAGGCACUGUGAGGUGUUAAUGGAAAAAUCCAACUUCCUUUUCUUCCAAAGAUGAUGACUGAAACCAAAGUGGAGCUUUCCCUUGUGAAGUGAAAGCAAAGUUUUAAAAUUUUUUCUCCUCUGCAAGAAAAUAUAUUUCAGAAAAUCUCUAUCUCAAAAAUGAAGCAAUUAAGAACUGUCUGGCUGUGAGGAUCUGGCCUCAACUUGACUUAAAGCAACAACUUCAGUUACAUAUCAAGAUGUGCGUGAGAAUGAACCUGCUCUGCUCAGCCAACGUGCUGAGUGACUUGAUGUUUGUAAUAAAUAAAUAAAUAAACAACAAACAGGUUGUCAUGAAAUAUCCUUUGUAAUUAUAAACACAGGAAACUUUCUGAGAUGCAAGUGGGUGUUAAAUGGUUCAGCAAAGCCAAGCCAGAGCAGUUGGUGUGCUUUGAAAUGAAGCAACAUUGGAAAAAUGAAAUCUACUGAAAGAUCACUACGUGUUUCAAAGGCCUUCAGACUCAGACUGGAACUGCACCGUUGGCUCUCCUGGGUGGGUCUCCAGCUUGCUGACCACAGACCUUGAGACUUCUCAGCCUUUAGAAUCAUGGAAGCCAAUUCCUUAUAAUAAUAUAUAUCCUUUUCCUAGUCUGUGGACUUUUCCCAGCUCCAGACAGACAACCUUCUAUAAACUCCAGGAUGCUCCAUCAAUGCCGUCUGGACUCUACAGAUUUUGACCCUGAAGUAAAGUAGGAAAGGCUAUGAGGACAUGUUAAAUGUUGUACUACCGCCUGAAGCCUUUUCUUCUUUAAAUUUUUCAACAAGAGUUGAAUGCACACGUGGAGCUUAAUUGGACAACAACUUUUCUCCUCUUCUGUGGGAUCCCGUCAGUGCUUUAAGCAAUGAGAAGGCAGCUCAUUUCCAAGUUUGUGUGGUAAAUUUGGGGCAAGUGGGAGAAAAGAAAGAAAGGCUGAGUCUUAUAGGGUGUGAUUUGGUUCUAGACAUGCUUAUGUUACUUUUUAUAAGAUUAUCCAUUUGACUAGAUUUCUUUCCUGCUGACAAAAGAGGCAAUUUCUACAUAUAAAAUAAAUCUGAUUAAAACUC